GGGGGAUAGCGGGCCAGGAGGGCUGUUCGGAUGUCAUCUGACUGCAGGACAUAGCUGGGCAAGGCACUGAGUGGCUGCCGUCGGGCAGACUGUCGCUCCAUGGUCUUUCUCUCAAAAGGCUUCCUGGGAACUGCCUGUGACUCUGGGAAGAAGGUGAAGGCCUGGAGCUGCUGAAGGACUUGACUGUGCUCUUCCUGGAAGAUGGCAAUGAGGUUCCC
rnacentral:lncRNA from 1 species